GGAGAGAUGGCAGAGUGGUUUAUUGCAUCGGUCUUGAAAACCGAAGUGCCAGCAACGGUACCGUGGGUUCGAAUCCCUCUCUCUCCGCCA
rnacentral:tRNA from 1 species